CGUGGGGAACCUGCCCCAUAGUCUGGGAUACCACUUGGAAACAGGUGCUAAUACCGGAUAAGAAAGCAGAUCGCAUGAUCAGCUUUUAAAAGGCGGCGUAAGCUGUCGCUAUGGGAUGGCCCCGCGGUGCAUUAGCUAGUUGGUAAGGUAAAGGCUUACCAAGGCGAUGAUGCAUAGCCGAGUUGAGAGACUGAUCGGCCACAUUGGGACUGAGACACGGCCCCAAAACUCCUACGGGAGGCAGCAGGC
rnacentral:rRNA from 1 species